rnacentral:tRNA from 1 species
CCUAAAAAGUUCUUUAAACA